UACGAAGGGGGCGAGCGUUGUUCGGAAUCACUGGGCGUAAAGGGCGCGUAGGCGGCCCUCUUAGUCGCGUGUGAAAGCCCCGGGCUCAACCUGGGAACGGCGCGCGAAACGGGAGGGCUGGAGUUCGGGAGAGGAGAGUGGAAUUCCCGGUGUAGCGGUGAAAUGCGUAGAGAUCGGGAGGAACACCAGUGGCGAAGGCGGCUACCUGGACCAGCACUGACACUGAGGCACGAAAGCGUGGGGAGCAAACAGG
rnacentral:rRNA from 1 species